rnacentral:rRNA from 1 species
GACGUAGGGCGCAAGCGUUGUCCGGAUUUAUUGGGCGUAAAGAGCUCGUAGGCGGCUUGUCGCGUCGUCCGUGAAAACCUGCGGCUCAACUGCAGGCUGGCGGUCGAUACGGGCAGGCUGGAGUUCGGUAGGGGAGACUGGAAUUCCUGGUGUAGCGGUGAAAUGCGCAGAUAUCAGGAGGAACACCGGUGGCGAAGGCGGCAUCCUGGACCGACACUGACGCUGAGGAGCGAAAGCCAGGGGAGCAAACGGG